GAAGUUCUGGUCUGUAGUGUGCUAUGAAGUUCAGGUGUCUGCACUAAGUUCAAUAUCAGUAUGGCCUCCUGGGAACAGGGUGCCACUAGGUUGCCUAAGGAAGGGUGAACUGGCACAGAUCAGAAACAGAGCAGAUCAAAGCUCUCGUGCUGAUCAGUAGUGGGAUUGUGCCUGUGAAUAGCCACUGCCCUACAGC
rnacentral:sRNA from 1 species